rnacentral:rRNA from 1 species
UACGGAGGGUGCAAACGUUGCUCGGAAUUAUUGGGCGUAAAGCGCACGUAGGCGGCUCGUUAAGUCGGAUGUGAAAGCCCCAGGCCCAACCUGGGAAGUGCAUACGAAACUGGCGAGCUUGAAUAUGGAAGAGGGUCGCGGAAUUCCCGGGUGUAGAGGUGAAAUUCGUAGAUAUCGGGAGGAACACCAGUGGCGAAGGCGGCGACCUGGGCCAAUAUUGACGCUGAGGUG